ensembl:misc_RNA Metazoa_SRP Metazoan signal recognition particle RNA
GCCGGGUGUGGUGGUGCAUACCUGUAGUCCCAGCUACUUGGGAGGCCGAGGCAGGAGAAUCACUUGAACCCAGGAGGUGGAGGUUGCAGUGAGGCGAGAUUGUAACAUUGCACUCCAGCCUGGGUGACAAAGUGAGACUAUGUCUCAA